rnacentral:rRNA from 1 species
CGAAGCCUGACGGAGCAAUACCGCGUGAGGGAAGAAGGCUUUUGGGUUGUAAACCUCUUUUGUCAGGGAAGAAGAAUUGACGGUACCUGAAGAAAAAGCAUCGGCUAACUCCGUGCCAGCAGCCGCGGUAAUACGGAGGAUGCAAGCGUUAUCCGGAAUCAUUGGGCGUAAAGGGUCCGCAGGUGGCGAAUAAAGUCUGCUGUUAAAGACCGGGGCUAAACUUCGGAAAGGCAGUGGAAACUGAUUAGCUAGAGUACGGUAGGGGUAGAGGGAAUUCCCAGUGUAGCGGUGAAAUGCGUAGAUAUUGGGAAGAACACCGGUGGCGAAAGCGCUCUACUAGGCCGAAACUGACACUGAGGGACGAAAGCUAGGGUAGCGAAAGGGAUUAGAUACCCCUGUAGUCUUAGCGGUAAACGAUGGAUACUAGGUGUAGCUUGUAUCGACCCGAGCUGUGCCGAAGCUAACGCGAUAAGUAUCCCGCCUGGGGAGUACGCACGCAAGUGUGAAACUCAAAGGAAUUGACGGGGGCCCGCACAAGCGGUGGAGUAUGUGGUUUAAUUCGAUGCAACGCGAAGAACCUUACCAGGGCUUGACAUGCCGCGAAUCUAGCGGAAACGUUAGAGUGCCUUAGGGAAUGCGAACACAGGUGGUGCAUGGCUGUCGUCAGCUCGUGUCGUGAGAUGUUGGGUUAAGUCCCGCAACGAGCGCAACCCUCGUCCUUAGUUGCCAAUAUUAAGUUAGGCACUCUAGGGAGACUGCCGGGGACAACUCGGAGGAAGGUGGGGAUGACGUCAAGUCAGCAUGCCCCUUACGUCCUGGGCGACACACGUUCUACAAUGGUUGGGACAAAGGGCAGCAAGCUCGCGAGAGUAAGCGAAUCUCAUCAAACCCAGCCACAGUUCAGAUUGCAGGCUGCAACUCGCCUGCAUGAAGUAGGAAUCGCUAGUAAUCGCAGGUCAGCAUACUGCGGUGAAUUCGUUCCCGGGCCUUGUACACACCGCCCGUCACACCAUGGAAGCUGGCUACGCCCGAAGUCGUUACCCUAACCCGGUUUUGGGAGGGGGAUGCCGAAGGUAGAGCUAGUGACUGGGGUGAAGUCGUAACAAGGUAGCCGUACCGGAAGGUGUGGCUGGAUCACCUCCUUU